AGAAGAAGAUACAGAAAAUGAAAAUAAAAUUUGGUACUAUAGCACAAAGGUCCAGCUUGCAGAAUUAAUUGACUGUCUAGAGAAAGAUUAUUGGGAAGCAGAACUCUGCAAAAUUCUGGAAGAAAUGCGUGAAGAAAUCCACCGACACAUGGACAUAACCGAAGACCUGACUGAUAAGGUUCAGGGCAGUAACAAAUCCUUUCUGGCGGCAGCUAAUGAACCUAACAAGACAUGUGAGAGCAGUAACACUAGUGCUACCACUACCUCCAUGCGGCCUGAUCUGGAAUACAGUAACAGCAGUGAACUAAAUUCUUCCCAGAGUGAAUCUGCUAAGGCAGCUGAUGAUCCUGAAAAUGAAGAAAGAGAAUCUCAUACACCUGUCUCUAUUCAGGAAGAGAUAGUAGGUGAUUUCAAAUCGGAGAAGUCCAGGCGGGAGCUAAGUGAAUCUCCUGGAGCUGGAAAAGGAGCAUCUGGCUCAACUCGAAUCAUCACCAGAUUAUGGAAUCCAGAUAGCAAACUUAGUCAACUGAAGAGCCAGCAGGUGGCAGCCGCUGCCCAUGAAGGAAGUAAAUUAUUUAAGGAGGACAAAGAGGUUCACGUGAAUGAAAGAACAAGGCUGCUUCUCCCAGACUGACUGACCUUGGCAUCCGCAUAAAGCAUCAUUGUUUUCAAAAAUGAAGGGUGCUUAAUUGUUCCCUUUUUUCUAUAUUCUGUAGGUCUCACAACAACAAACUGCAGUCUACAGCUUCUUAAAGUUUAACAUAAAAUGCAGCAAGAAUCUGGUUGUCUGAACUAUUUUAAAUUAAGGAGCCAGAUGUUUUUAGUCGAGAUUUGACCUAAACUUUGUUUUUAUUGGUCAUAAUAAUCCAAUUAUAUUGUUGGCCAAUUUUGUCCAAUGGACAAGAAAAAAGCAAAGUCAACGGCAGCAUUAUCUUGUCAGGAUCAAAUGGUUUUACUAUUGUGGCAGAAGCUAGAAAACUCUGCUUAUUAAAAAAAAGAAAAAGAAAGCAAGAAAAAAAGAUACUAUGGGGUCAAGUGCAACUCCAUGGAAAUGCUACAUCUGCUCUUCCGUGAAGAAGCUGGUUUAGAGUCUCAAAGACAGCUUUUGACUGUGUAUAUUUAUUGUCGCAAAAAAGACACGUUUUUAUUGCUGCCUUCAUUUGUCAGCUAAUUAUUUUCUCUUAUAAAAUCCAGCCUGGUUACGUAUAAUCCUUCUGUAUCUUAUCAUGAUUCCUGUACGUAAAAGUACAAGACGACCUCUAGAUGUCUUUUCUUUCUAUGAAAGGAGCUGCUAUGUACACAUGUGCACACACACACAACUGGGAAUCAACAAUGAGUUUAUUGUUCCUGGUAGAUAAAAAUUAAGCUUACAUAAAGAUUGGGCUAAGUGGUCCUGGACUGCAGACUCUGUUGCCUUGAAUAUAACAGUACAAUUUGUCAAUUACAAUGCACCAGGUUAAAAUGAGUAAAAUCUGUUUGAAGGUAUCUUGUUUGUAAACAUUUGUCAGAUUAUAAUUUUUUCUUUGGUAUUAAAAUUCAACUAUGGAUGUAUAUGAAGCAAAAUAAAUAGAGAUAAUUUUUCUCCCACAGACAGAAGUGUCUUUGAAUGUGCGCUAAUUAUUAUCUGUAAGCCUCUGUGGGGAGGGACGGCUGCAAAGUUAUGAAGGCAGAAUAAUCUAAUUGUGCCUGGAUUUCUCCAGGACAGCAGUGGCUCCUCGUUUUAUCAUCCCAGUCAAUUGUCAUCAUAUCAGAGAAAAAUCUUCAGGGGGGCUAAUCCUGUUGCAUCAGUUGAUCAUACUAACGAAAAGGGUGAUGUGACAAGAUACACAUUGCCUUCAUCUCUACAUUCUGUGAUACCGGGCAAAUUACCAAGAAUUCUACAUUUUAAUGAAUAAUAAAAUUAUUCUGCAUCUCGUUCAGGCGCUGUGGCUCAUGCCUGUAAUCCCAGCACUUUGGGAGGCCGAGGCGGGUGAUUCACGAGGUCAGGAGAUCCAGGCCAUCCUGGCUAACAAGGUGAAACCCCGUGUCUACUAAAAAUACAAAAAAAAUUAGCCGGCAGUGGUGGCUUGUAGUCCUAGCUACUUGGGAGGCUGAGGCAGGAGAAUGGCGUGAACCCGGGAGGUGGAGCUUGCAGUGAGCCGAGAUGGUGCCACUACACUGCACUCCAACCUGGGUGACAGAGCAAGACUCCGUCUCAAAAAAAAAAAAAAAAAAAAAAAAAAAAAAUUACUCUGCAUCUCAUCAUGUCAUAGUAUUUCUGUGCUAUUUAUUUAUUUAUUUAGCAACGGAGUCUCGCUCUGUUGGCCAGGCUGAAGUGCAGUGACGCGAUCUCGGCUCACUGCAAUCCAUCAUAUGUAUUCACUAAUUUAAUCUUCACAACAACUCUAAGGGGUGGGAACUAUGUUUUUGCCCCAUUUUACAGAUAUGAAAUGAGAAGCUGUGUUGAAGGUGUUUUCUGCGGUUGAUUUAAAUAGAAUUAAUAAACUCCGAGAAAAUAUUCUUUUUUUUUUUUUUUUUUGAGACAAAGUUUCACUCUUGUUGCCCAGGCUGGAGUACAAUGGCUAUCUCUGCUCACUACAAACUCUGCCUCCCGGGUUCAAGUGAUUCUCCUGCCUCAGCCUCCUGAGUUGCAGGGAUUACAAGCAUGGGCCACCACGCCCAGCUAAUUUUUUUGGAUUUUUAGUAGAGACGGGGUUUUUCCAUGUUGGUUAGGUUGGUCUUGAACUCCCAACCUCAGGUGAUCCGCCCGCCUCGGACUCCCAAAGUGUUGGGAUUACAGGUGUGAGCCACCGAGACCGGCCAGAGAAAAGAUUAUUAAUUGAUGAAGGUUUUC
rnacentral:lncRNA from 1 species